rnacentral:rRNA from 1 species
AGGAUGAACGCUGGCGGCGUGCUUAACACAUGCAAGUCGAACGGUGAACACGGAGCUUGCUCUGUGGGAUCAGUGGCGAACGGGUGAGUAACACGUGAGCAACCUGCCCCUGACUCUGGGAUAAGCGCUGGAAACGGCGUCUAAUACUGGAUACGAGCCACGACCGCAUGGUCAGUGGUUGGAAAGAAUUUUGGUUGGGGAUGGGCUCGCGGCCUAUCAGCUUGUUGGUGAGGUAAUGGCUCACCAAGGCGUCGACGGGUAGCCGGCCUGAGAGGGUGACCGGCCACACUGGGACUGAGACACGGCCCAGACUCCUACGGGAGGCAGCAGUGGGGAAUAUUGCACAAUGGGCGCAAGCCUGAUGCAGCAACGCCGCGUGAGGGAUGACGGCCUUCGGGUUGUAAACCUCUUUUAGCAGGGAAGAAGCGAAAGUGACGGUACCUGCAGAAAAAGCGCCGGCUAACUACGUGCCAGCAGCCGCGGUAAUACGUAGGGCGCAAGCGUUAUCCGGAAUUAUUGGGCGUAAAGAGCUCGUAGGCGGUUUGUCGCGUCUGCUGUGAAAUCCCGAGGCUCAACCUCGGGCCUGCAGUGGGUACGGGCAGACUAGAGUGCGGUAGGGGAGAUUGGAAUUCCUGGUGUAGCGGUGGAAUGCGCAGAUAUCAGGAGGAACACCGAUGGCGAAGGCAGAUCUCUGGGCCGUAACUGACGCUGAGGAGCGAAAGGGUGGGGAGCAAACAGGCUUAGAUACCCUGGUAGUCCACCCCG